rnacentral:rRNA from 1 species
UACGGGGGGUGCAAGCGUUGUCCGGAAUCAUUGGGCGUAAAGCGUUCGUAGGCGGUACAUUAAGUCUGGUGUUAAAUACUUGGGCUCAACUCAGGUUCGGCAUUGGAUACUGGUGAACUAGAAUAUGGCAGAGGUUAAGGGAAUUCCUGGUGUAGCGGUGAAAUGCGUAGAUAUCAGGAGGAACACCGGAGGCGAAAGCGCUUAACUGGGCCAAAAUUGACGCUGAGGAACGAAAGCCGGGGGAGCAAAU